rnacentral:rRNA from 1 species
AGUGAACGCUGGCGGUAGGCCUAACACAUGCAAGUCGAACGGCAGCACAGUAAGAGCUUGCUCUUACGGGUGGCGAGUGGCGGACGGGUGAGGAAUACAUCGGAAUCUACUUUUUCGUGGGGGAUAACGUAGGGAAACUUACGCUAAUACCGCAUACGACCUACGGGUGAAAGCAGGGGAUCUUCGGACCUUGCGCGAUUGAAUGAGCCGAUGUCGGAUUCGCUAGUUGGCGGGGUAAAGGCCCACCAAGGCGACGAUCCGUAGCUGGUCUGAGAGGAUGAUUAGCCACACUGGCACUGAGACACGGUCCAGACUCCUACGGUAGGCAGCAGUGGGGAAUAUUGGACGAUGGGCGCAAGCCUGAUCCAGCCCUACCGCGUGGGUGAAGAAGGCCUUCGGGUUGUAAAGCCCUUUUGUUGGGAAAGAAAAGCAGCAGGUUAAUACCCCGCUGUUCUGACGGUACCCAAAGAAUAAGCACCGGCUAACUUCGUG